rnacentral:rRNA from 1 species
AUUGAACGCUGGCGGCAUGCUUUACACAUGCAAGUCGAACGGUAACAGGUUAAGCUGACGAGUGGCGAACGGGUGAGUAAUGCAUCGGAACGUGCCCGAUCGUGGGGGAUAACACUUCGAAAGAAGUGCUAAUACCGCAUACGAUCUGAGGAUGAAAGCGGGGGACCGUAAGGCCUCGCGCGAUCGGAGCGGCCGUUGUCAGAUUAGGUAGUUGGUGGGGUAAAGGCUCACAAAGCCGACGAUCUGUAGCUGGUCUGAGAGGACGACCAGCCACACUGGGACUGAGACACGGCCCAGACUCCUACGGGAGGAAGCAGUGGGGAAUUUUGGACAAUGGGCGCAAGCCUGAUCCAGCAAUGCCGCGUGCAGGAAGAAGGCCUUCGGGUUGUAAACUGCUUUUGUACGGAGCGAAAAGGCUCUCUCUAAUACAGGGGGCUCAUGACGGUACCGUAAGAAUAAGCACCGGCUAACUACGUGCCAGCCGCCGCGGUAA